rnacentral:rRNA from 1 species
GAUGAACGCUGGCGGCGUGCCUAACACAUGCAAGUCGAGCGGCAGCGAGGGGGGCUUGCACCCUGUCGGCGAGCGGCGGACGGCUGAGUAACGCGUGGGAACGUGCCCCAAAGUGAGGAAUAACUGCCCGAAAGGGUAGCUAAUACCGCAUAUUAUCUUCGGAUCAAAGGAUUUAUCCGCUUUGGGAGCGGCUCGCGUCGGAUUAGGUAGUUGGUGAGGUAAUGGCUCACCAAGCCGACGAUCCGUAGCUGGUCUGAGAGGAUGACCAGCCAGACUGGAACUGAGACACGGUCCAGACUCCUACGGGAGGCAGCAGUGAGGAAUCUUCCACAAUGGGCGAAAGCCUGAUGGAGCAACGCCGCGUGCAGGACGAAGGCCUUCGGGUUGUAAACUGCUUUUAUAAGUGAGGAAUAUGACGGUAACUGAUGAAUAAGGAUCGGCUAACUACGUG